rnacentral:rRNA from 1 species
UGAGCAAUCUGCCCUUCUCAUCGGAAUAAGCGUUGGAAACGACGUCUAAUGCCGAAUACGACCUCCUUUCGCAUGAUCGGAGGUGGAAAGCUCCGGCGGAGAAGGAUGAGCUCGCGGCCUAUCAGCUAGUUGGUGUGGGUAAUGGCCCACCAAGGCGACGACGGGUAGCCGGCCUGAGAGGGUGACCGGCCACACUGGGACUGAGACACGGCUCAGACUCCUAGGGAGG